UACAGAGGUCUCAAGCGUUGUUCGGAUUCAUUGGGCGUAAAGGGUGCGUAGGCGGCGCGGUAAGUCGGGUGUGAAAUUUCGAGGCUUAACUUCGAAACUGCAUUCGAUACUGCCGUGCUUGAGGACUGGAGAGGAGACUGGAAUUUACGGUGUAGCGGUGAAAUGCGUAGAUAUCGUAAGGAAGACCAGUGGCGAAGGCGGGUCUCUGGACAGUUCCUGACGUGAGGCACGAAGGCCAGGGGAGCAAACGGG
rnacentral:rRNA from 1 species